CUGACCAUAGCCCUAGCAAACUCAGCGUUGAAUGUGCUUCUUGGACUCAUCAACUGUUGCACAAUGGGUCUAGUUGCUGGAUCGGACCAGAGGACUUGAUCGGAUUGGAGGACUCCACGGCCACGGCUUAGGUUGUUGUAGUAUGAGGUGUCGAAAGUGGUACCACUUCCAGUGUCGAGAUCAACACGUACCGAUGCAUCGCCGUUUUGGGGACAUUGUGUCUGAAGCUGCGCCAACAAUGUCGGGUCAAUGGUUGUAUCCGCUGGGCCUGUAGUACUGUUGUAUAGCCUGUUCCUGAAUGCACCGCAACCUGCUUGUCCUAUCGUGUGUCCUCCUGUUAAUAACAUGAUGUAACUUAUUUAGUAUAUUUUGUUAAUAAAAGCUGCGAAUUAAAAAAAAAGGUUUGCGAAUUUAUUUUUUCCUAUAUUUUCCGAUUAAGGUUUCAUUAUUUAUAUUUUCAGAGAAAAUUGGUUUAAAAGGAGUCGGUUAAAAAGUAGUUUGAAGUAUUCAACGAACACUGUUGAACACAUGAAAGAGUUUUUUAACAUUAAGGAUGCAAUUGGAUUACAAGAUUUUGAAAUGAAAUUGUUUGGAAUAAUUUAUUCCUACAGAUUCCAAUUUUUUUUUACUAUUUGAAUGGAACAAAAAACAAAUCUUAUUCCAAUGAUCCCUUUUGGAAUGUCUGAAAAAAAUAGAAUGUACUUAUAAAACAUUCAUGAUUAAAAAAGCUCAUGAAUAAGUCGAAUGAGUGGAAUGUAAUUCAAUUUUUUUUAUUCCAUAACUUCUUUUAUUCCAUUCAUCUACGUUCCAUUUUUUUUUAAUUUCAUUCAUUCAUGAUAUUCUUUAAAUUGGUAACCAGUUACAUCUCAAAUUAUCGAAUUAAUGGUAAUUUAUACGUCUUGUAUUGCGUAAAUGUAAAGUACUAACCGACGAGGACGACGAGUUCGCGUGUACUCAGUCUCACAGCGGAGAACUUCUGUUGUUGAACGGCAACGGAGUCACCGGCCCCAGGGAGAUUGUUAGCGUUCGAAGCCAAAGAAACGCGACCAUCUCUACGUCCUGUUGGUAC
rnacentral:lncRNA from 1 species